GAGGAAAGUUGGGGAUUUUCGGGACUUACGCUAUGAGAUUGGCGUAGGUCGGAUUAGCUAGUUGGUGGGGUAAAGGCCUACCAAGGCGACGAUACGUAACUGGUCUGAGAGGAUGAUCAGUCACACUGGAACUGAGACACGGUCCAGACUCCUACGGGAGGCAGCAGUGGGGAAUAUUGGACAAUGGGCGAAAGCCUGAUCCAGCCAUGCCGCGUGUGUGAAGAAGGUCUUCGGAUUGUAAAGCACUUUAAGUUGGGAGGAAGGGCAGUAAGUUAAUACCUUGCUGUUUUGACGUUACCAACAGAAUAAGCACCGGCUAACUUCGUGCCAGCAGCCGCGGUAAUACGAAGGGUGCAAGCGUUAAUCGGAAUUACUGGGCGUAAAGCGCGCGUAGGUGGUUCAGCAAGUUGGAUGUGAAAUCCCCGGGCUCAACCUGGGAACUGCAUCCAAAACUACUGAGCUAGAGUACGGUAGAGUGUGGUAGAAUUUCAUGUGUAGCGCUGAAAUGCGUAGAUUUAGGAAGGAACACCAGUGGCGAAGGCGAGAACAUGAACUGUAACUGACACUUAGGUGCGAAAGAGUGGGGAGCAAACAGGUUUAGAUAACCUGGUAGUCCACGCCGCAAAAGAUUUCGACUCGCCUCUGAGAU
rnacentral:rRNA from 1 species